UCUUAUCUUUGCUCUCCCCCAUAGGUAUGACUUUUUUUUUCUUCCAGAUUCUUUCAGGACAUUUACCGUAUCUUUGAUUUUCUGUAGUUUGAAUGAGGUAUGCCUCAGUGUAUAUUGUGCAUUUAUCCUGCUUGCUGUUCUCUGAGCUUCCUGGAUCUGUGGUUUGGUGUCUGACACUAAUGUGGAGAAAUUCUUAGUUAUUAUUUCAUUAAAUAUUUCCUCUGUUCCUUUCUCAUUCUUCUUCUGGCAUUACCAUUACACAUAUCAUACACAUAACUGUUGCCCCACAGUUCUUGGAAUAUUCUAUUUUAUCUUUCCCUUUGGUUUUCAGUUUUGGAGGUUUCUACUGAGAUAUCCUCAAGCUAAGAAAUUCUUUCCUCUGCCAUGACCAGUUGACAAGUAUAUUAGUUAGGUUGAGCCAUCCUACCUACAUGGUCAAAUUGAUCAGUGAACCAUAUGUUGCCAGACCACUUUUGCAUCUCCUUAAGAAGCAUGUGUAUUACCUGGAGACCCUGGACUUGGACCUGGCUCAGCAACUACAUGAAACUUUGAAUUGUAAGAUAUAUUGGAUGCUGGCUUUAUAUUAGGGACUUCUGGAAAGUUCAGGCUAAGUUUCUUGCUAAAUCACAUCAAUGAAAUCAACCUCAAUGAUGGUUAACUAUAAAGUGAAGGGGUGGUUGCAUUGAUCUUCUUCCCUUAGAAAAUUGCUACAUGAUUCCCAGUCACAUCAGAUACUGUUAUAGAACUAACAAAUGCCUCCAGGAGAUAUUCAUCAAAUCUUUUGUUGCCCAUUAAUCCUCUCAGCCAUUAUGUGCUUUUGGGUGGAGAAGAAGAAGGAAAUUAAAGAUCUGGAUUCCUUGCUAUCCUGGAGAGGUUUUGGCAAUAAAAUGGUACCUGAAGUCAGCUGCUAAAGAUUCUGAAGAUGACUCCUAGGAGCAAGUAAAGAUGCCUGCAGAGCCUUAUUUCUUUGUGGCCUCUUCAGCACUCUCCAGGAUCUCUGGUAAGCUUCUAUUGGAUUGAACUCUGCUUAUUUUGCAAAUUGAGCUCCUUGAUUUUGUUUGUUCUAAUACUUCUAGAUAGGAAAUUGUGGUAUGAGAGAGUCCAGAUUUUUCAUGGUGAGAUUUAGUGGGCCACGUUUUUGGGUGUGUGGCCAAUCUCGUCUACGAGGUAAAUGCCUUUGGGAGGUCCUUCCAGGUCUUUGGAACUGUGCACAGACAGCCAGAAACAGUAAAUCUGGUUGAAUUUGGCAGUAUUCUUUCAAGGGAAAAUAAUGGGUGUGCGUCAGUUAAAAUAAAGCAAGAUGGCAGCUGUUAGGGGACUCACAAGGGGACUUCAGGUAAGUCCACAGCAUAAACUACUUGGGGACUUGAGGAAAUAAGUUAAGAAAUUCAUACUUUUUAGACCAAUAUCUCAUCAAAACCUAGGCAGGCACAAGUCAGACUAUUAAAAGCCAUUAUGGUGUCUGUCACUACAAAGAAAUCCAAAAGGAAUAACAGAUCUACUGCUAAUGGGAAUCUUGGAAGCCAAAGCUGAAAAAUUGGUGGGCACUGGUUGAGCACUUGACUACUGAUAGAGGGCUUGUCAUCUAACUCUAUGACUGCCGUGCUAGGAUACAUUGAUUACAAUAUAGAUUAGAUUGACACUAAGUCACCCACCAGACUCAAGAAAAUGUCUAUGCAACAAAGCACACUGUAAACCACUACAAAGUCACCAACCCAGAAGCACAUUGCUCUUAGGUAUUAAUUUGGCUCCAAGAGGCACAAGGCUCACCUAAAGAAAGGGGCUCCUUAAAUUUGAAAGAAUUAAGUGUUCUUCCUUCUGGCACACCUGCUAAUUUUGUGCCUAAGAGCUGUAAUCCUGGAAGCUGUAGAUAUCUACAAAAAAUGGAAAAAUCUUACUAAGACAACCUAGAAUGGUAAUUAUAGAGAAUAUUCCAAUUAGAUCAGAUCAUUCAUUUAAGAAGAGCUCUUUAUAGUAAAGCAUCCCAAAUCAAACAAACACAAUGGAAUACCUAUUUUAAUCGGCAGGCAGAGGCUCCAAAAAAGCUUCAAGAUUCCAAAAUAGCUUCAUUGAAAGCUUCACUGCAAAAGGUUAGUGAAGAGGACACAACAGGUAUCCAAAAGAAAAGACUGUAAGACUGACAUGUCUCCCAUUACACCCCUCCAUCCUUGUUUGCCUGAAUAUUUACAGUCUACUCAUCUGAAUUGUCUUUCCACUUGGAAGAGGUUGAAGACUGUAAACAAAAAGUCUGCCAAGUUAGUGGCCUUACAGAUACCCUCAUAUCCACCUUCAAAAGGACUCUUAUAUGAACCCCUUGCAGGGUUGAUGCCACUCAGAAAUUCUCCAGUAACUGCCAGUUAAUUCUUUAAAUAGCCAAGGAGAAAUUAAAAUUAAUAGAAAACUUAGCCAAAUUCUAGUAGAUACUGGAGCUACACUUUGUAUGUUAAACUCUACUUGCUCCAGAGUCUGAAGAUGGGACCCUGGGAAAACUGUCAGAAUCCAGAAAAGAAUGAGAAUUCUUACCAGAGUCAUCUAUCCCAGAUCUCUGUCUAUAGUGUCCAAUUCAGGGAGGAAAGUGACAUUUCACCUUGUCUCUCCCUUUCCAAAUCUAUACCCAUUGGUUGCCAAUUCAUUCCUUCCCAUAAAUAGCUGUUACCCUCUUUAUUGCCUAAUUUUGUGUCCUAAGAACUUGGCUUGACAGCCAUCAGGUCAGGGGCCCCAAAAUCUCAUCAGACAGAAAUGUGGGUUGUACCCCAUUUGCUGCUAGACAUGGCUGGGCAGAAGUGUGGGUGGCACUGCAGUUGCAGUGGGGGUCCUACCAACUAUUACUAGGUCUUACAAAAUUGUCUCAAUGUUUCUUUUAACUAUCUUUGGGAGUGGCUUUGGAUCUUGGGAGGGUAAUAUCUUUUGUACCCCUUUGACGCCUUUUCGGACCAUGAGGUUGUUCAGUACUGCCAGAAAUAUUUAUAGUUUGUCCCUGCUGAAACCUGACAAGAUAUUGAAAUAUGUUUUUAGAGUAGCUCUAUGGUCAGAAGUUGACCUUAUUGGAAGCCAAUAUUCAGAGCCUGAUAGGAACUUUUAAAAUGCCUUCAUCCCUAAGCUAAAUGUAUCCAGAGGGGGGUGGGGUGGGGAGACAUUCCAAAGACAAAGCUCUAAAUCUAGGACAUAAGGACCUUUUGAUUUCAUCUUAGUUGAAGAUUUUCUUUCUCAUCUAAAGUAGCAAAUUGAAGAAAAUGUAGUUGGAUGGGUAGAUUAAUCCCUUCAUGUCAAUUGGGUUGCUACCCAAGUCUUGGAGGAAUUAAAAACAACUCUCCUUGUCUUAUAUUGAGUCUUUUCUUUUAAAGAUAAAAUACAGCUCUGGAUUUGCAACUCAAAUGCAACUCAAAACCCACUAUCCUUUUUGCCAAUCAUAAAACCUCCCCUAUUCAUGUCAAAAAGCUUGUAGUUAUUAUAAAAAUUCUGGCCUUAGGAAACAAAAGUCCUUCUUGGAAGAACUUGGGUCCCUGUGCCUUUGAGAUGUAAAUGUUCUACCUGGCCUUCUCUAGGAACUUUCAUCAAGGCCAUCUCUUUGAAAUGCAGACUUAGGAGGUAAUCCUUAUCAGAAGGAAACAAGGGGGAAAAGGAAGUUUGGAAAUUAGGUGUAAACCUUAAUCUUCUCCACAAAUAUUAGUUCAAGCCAUCUGACAGGUAUUCUUAUUUCAUCUGUUAGAAACACAAUUUAAAUUCAGCAAUUGUUCUUUUAUAAACUACUGAGUUUUGCUUUAUCAUACCUGUCUCAUAACUAAAAUUUUAAAACAAAAGGUAAAGAUCUCUGUUUACCUCUGUCUGUAUGAUGAUGUAUAUCUAUGUAUGCAUGUUGUAAAUGUGUUAUUUUUUUUUUAUACCUUGAGAUGGUAUUGUCCGAAUCAAUUUGUGAAGAGCUCUAUUUAGUUGGCUUAAACAUUUAGGGGUGGCUGGGUGGCUCAGUCGGUUAUGCAUCCAGAUUCUUGAUAUGGGCUCAGGGGUGAUCUCUCGAUUAUGAUCUCUCUGUCAAGAGAUCCUGGAGCCCUGCAUCUGGCUCCAGGCUGAGCAUGGAGCCUGCUUGGGAUUCUCUCUCUCCCUCUCUCUGCUUCUCCCCCAAUUACAUAUGUUCUCUCUCAAAAUAAAUAAA